rnacentral:tRNA from 1 species
CGAAUCAUAAUCCAUUGAAGGAUUAUAUUAUUUACAUUAAUAUACAUAAUUGUUAAAAUCAAUUUGGUUUGA